UGUCGAAGGCGGCUCACAGGUGAAAGACGUUUAGACCUCGCUCAGCCCGGAGCACUGUCAAAGGCCCGCAUCCAGCGCCAGCAGCAGCACCGGACCUGCAGCAGAGCCAGCACCAGCACCAGCACCAGCAACAGCACCAGCACCAGCAACAGCACCAGCACCAGCACCAACACCAGCAGCACCAACACCAACACCAGCAGCACCAGCAGCACCAGCACCAACACCAACACCAGCAGCACCAGCAGCACCAGCACCAGCACCAACACCAACACCAGCAGCACCAGCAGCACCAGCACCAACACCAACACCAGCAGCACCAGCACCAACACCAGCAGCACCAGCAGCACCAGCACCAACACCAACACCAGCAGCACCAGCAGCACCAGCAGCACCAGCAGCACCAGCACCAACACCAGCAGCACCAACACCAACACCAGCAGCACCAGCAGCACCAGCACCAACACCAACACCAGCAGCACCAGCAGCACCAGCACCAGCACCAACACCAACACCAGCAGCACCAGCAGCACCAGCACCAACACCAACACCAGCAGCACCAGCACCAACACCAACACCAGCAACAGCAGCAGCACCCAGCACCAGCAACAGCACCAGCAACAGCAGCACCAGCAGCACCAGCAGCACCAGCACCAACACCAACACCAGCAGCACCAACACCAACACCAGCAGCACCAACACCAACACCAACACCAGCAGCACCAACACCAACACCAGCAGCAGCAACAGCAGCACCAACACCAACACCAACACACCAACACCAGCAGCACCAGCAGCACCAGCACCAACACCAGCAGCACCAACACCAGCAGCACCAGCAGCAGCAACAGCAGCAGCAGCACCAGCACCAACACCAACACCAACACCAGCAGCACCAGCAGCACCAGCACCAACACCAACACCAGCAGCACCAGCACCAACACCAACACCAGCAGCACCAGCAGCACCAACACCAACACCAGCAGCACCAGCAGCACCAACACCAACACCAGCAGCACCAGCAGCAGCAACAGCAGCACCAACACCAACACCAGCAGCAGCAACAGCAGCACCAGCACCAACACCAGCAGCACCAGCAGCACCGGCACCAACACCAGCACCAACACCAACACCAGCAGCACCAGCAGCAGCAGCAGCACCAGCACCAACACCAACACCAACACCAGCAGCACCAGCAGCACCAGCACCAACACCAGCAGCACCAGCACCAACACCAGCACCAACACCAACACCAGCAGCACCAGCACCAACACCAACACCAGCAGCACCAGCAGCACCAACACCAACACCAGCAGCACCAGCAGCACCAACACCAACACCAGCAGCACCAGCAGCAGCAACAGCAGCACCAACACCAACACCAGCAGCAGCAACAGCAGCACCAGCACCAACACCAGCAGCACCAGCAGCACCGGCACCAACACCAGCAGCACCAACACCAACACCAGCAGCACCAGCAGCAGCAGCAGCACCAGCACCAACACCAACACCAACACCAGCAGCACCAGCAGCACCAGCACCAACACCAGCAGCACCAGCACCAACACCAACACCAGCAGCACCAGCAGCACCAGCACCGGCACCAACACCAACACCAACACCAGCAGCACCAACACCAGCAGCGCCAGCACCAGCAGCAGCACCAGCACCGGCACCAGCAGCACCAGCACCGGCACCAACACCAGCAGCACCAGCACCAACACCAGCAGCACCAGCACCAACACCAGCAGCAGCACCAACACCAGCAGCACCAGCACCGGCACCAGCAGCAGCAGCAGCACCAACACCAGCAGCGCCAGCACCAGCACCAGCAGCACCAGCACCGGCACCAACACCAGCAGCACCAGCACCAACACCAGCAGCAGCACCAACACUAGCAGCACCAGCACCGGCACCAGCAGCAGCACCAACACCAGCAGCAGCACCAACACCAGCAGCACCAGCACCGGCACCAGCAGCAGCACCAACACCAGCAGCACCAGCACCGGCACCAGCAGCAGCACCAACACCAGCAGCGCCAGCACCAGCAGCAGCAACACCAGCAGCAGCACCGGAUCUACAGCAGCGCCAGCAACAACACCAGCACCAACGCCAGCAGCACCAGCACCGGACCAACAGCAGAGCCAGCACCAGCACCAACACCAACACCAGCAGCACCAGCACCAACGCCAGCAGCACCAGCACCGGACCAACAGCAGAGCCAGCACCAGCACCAACACCAACACCAGCAGCACCAGCACCAACGCCAGCAGCAGCAACAGCAGCACCAGCAGCAGCAGCAGCACCACCAACACCAAUACCAGCACCAACAGAACCAGCAGCAGCACAUGCCAGGAAGCCGAUCCCAAAAUGCAUUUAGAGCAAUACAGACAAGGUCUGGACUGUGUAUCCAUCACCCUCAGCCUAUCCAGUACACUGGUCCACACUGGUCCUGAACCACAACCACUAGAUGUUAAUGCCUCAUGUCUGGAUCAGGCUUGGAAGAACACUGUGUUGGUUCCACAUUAG
ensembl:lncRNA